rnacentral:rRNA from 1 species
CCUACGGGUGGCUGCAGUGGGGAAUAUUGCACAAUGGGGGAAACCCUGAUGCAGCGACGCCGCGUGAAGGAAGAAGUAUUUCGGUAUGUAAACUUCUAUCAGCAGGGAAGAAGAUGACGGUACCUGACUAAGAAGCCCCGGCUAACUACGUGCCAGCAGCCGCGGUAAUACGUAGGGGGCAAGCGUUAUCCGGAUUUACUGGGUGUAAAGGGAGCGUAGACGGAGCGGCAAGUCUGGAGUGAAAACCCAGGGCUUAACCCUGGGACUGCUUUGGAAACUGUCGUUCUUGAGUGCCGGAGGGGUAAGCGGAAUUCCUAGUGUAGCGGUGAAAUGCGUAGAUAUUAGGAGGAACACCAGUGGCGAAGGCGGCUUACUGGACGGCAACUGACGUUGAGCCUCGAAAGCGUGGGGAGCAAACAGGAUUAGAUACCCGGGUAGUC